AGAAAGUUAGUCUAACCAAGACAGUCGGUUUCGGCCCAACAGAUUAUAGUAACCACCCUAUAACUUUCUU
rnacentral:tRNA from 1 species